CGAUAUAAAUAUGAUAUUCAUUUUAAAGAACAUAUUCGUCUGUUAAUCACGAUAUACAAAUAUCAUCAGCCGCCAGUUUUUGCAAAUGUUAAAUAGUAGCACGAUACAUGUGAUUACUUUGUACUUCGAACUUUGUAACGUUAUCUCAGUGGGGACAUGUAUGACCCGUACAUGUAUUCGGUUAAAUGUGUUAAUUUAAUGAUAAACUUUCGCUAAUUUAUUUCCAAAGUAUACGGUCAAAAACAUAUAAUGUUCAACAAUAUGUUAUCUGUAGUUAUUGUGUUUGUGGUGUUUUCGGGAGUGCAAGGAAUUACGCAUGAGGAUUGUCCAGGUAAUGGACACUCUGACCACGGCUCCUGGGUUGUCAAUAACAGAAAAGAAGAACCAAGAUGUGUGCUAAAAUGCAAAGUAGGAUACGAGCCGGAUAAAUGUCAUGUGUUGCGGAAAA